rnacentral:rRNA from 1 species
AGCUUGUUGGUGGGGUAAUGGCCUACCAAGGCGACGACGGGUAGCCGACACCUGAGAGGGUGACCGGCCACACUGGGACUGAGACACGGCCCAGACUCCUACGGGAGGCAGCAGUGGGGAAUAUUGCACAAUGGGCGAAAGCCUGAUGCAGCGACGCCGCGUGAGGGAUGACGGCCUUCGGGUUGUAAACCUCUUUCAGCAGGGACGAAGCGCAAGUGACGGUACCUGCAGAAGAAGCACCGGCUAACUACGUGCCAGCAGCCGCGGUAAUACGUAGGGUGCAAGCGUUGUCCGGAAUUACUGGGCGUAAAGAGUUCGUAGGCGGUUUGUCGCGUCGUUUGUGAAAACCAGCAGCUCAACUGCUGGCUUGCAGGCGAUACGGGCAGACUUGAGUACUGCAGGGGAGACUGGAAUUCCUGGUGUAGCGGUGAAAUGCGCAGAUAUCAGGAGGAACACCGGUGGCGAAGGCGGGUCUCUGGGCAGUAACUGACGCUGAGGAACGAAAGCGUGGGUAGCGAACAGGAUUAGAUACCCUGGUAGUCCACGCCGUAAACGGUGGGCGCUAGGUGUGGGUUCCUUCCACGGAAUCCGUGCCGUAGCUAACGCAUUAAGCGCCCGC